CCAUUUUAACCUCUUCAGAUUGUAUAAAUCUUUUGCUUUUUAAUAAAGAUUUCUGUGGAGAGGAACUGUUUAGAGUUUUUGAACAAUUUUUGCACCAACCAGUUAAAGGCAUGA